CCACUAUAACGUUAUUAAUAGCUCUGCUUUUGGAAACUGAAGGACUUUGCAGCAGCCUACUCCGAAGGGGUAGUUCUAAUGCGACCCCUCCCAAUAGAAGAAAGUGGCAUAUCUGGGAGCAAUGCCAAGAGCAUGAAAACUAGAUGUGUUUUCACCUGCAACCUGGAUGGCUUUCAAAGGGGAUUAGCCAAAAUCAUGGAGUACUAAUGGAUCCGUAUAUUCCGGACGACUGGGUGUAUAAGACAUGACGUUGCAAAGACAGAGCCAGUGGAGUCACAUGCGCACGCUGAGAGAGGAGCUGCCAGCGAGCUCUCAGUGUCUUUUCCCAGGUCGACCGGUCAUCCCAGGCAAAGUCUCUUGGCAUUUGAAUGUGUACAGUGGGUGUGAGAUUGUGUUCCAAUCCGAGUAGGCCUGCUUAUGAAUAAACACAGAUAUACAGCUUUA